UACGUAGGGGGCAAGCGUUGUCCGGGAUUUAUUGGGCGUAAAGAGCGUGUAGGCGGCCAAACAGGUCCACUGUGAAAACUCGAGGCUCAACCUCGAGAGGUCGGUGGAAACCGUCUGGCUAGAGUCCGGAAGAGGAGAGUGGAAUUCCCGGUGUAGCGGUGAAAUGCGCAGAUAUCGGGAAGAACACCCGUGGCGAAGGCGGCUCUCUGGGACGGUACUGACGCUGAGACGGCG
rnacentral:rRNA from 1 species